UGGGGAAUAUUGCACAAUGGAGGGAACUCUGAUGCAGCGACGCCGCGUGAACGAAGAAGGCUUUCGAGUCGUAAAGUUCUUUUAUAUGGGAAGAUAAUGACGGUACCAUAAGAAAAAGCCCCGGCUAACUACGUGCCAGCAGCCGCGGUAAUACGUAGGGGGCUAGCGUUGUCCGGAAUCACUGGGCGUAAAGGGUUCGCAGGCGGAAAUGCAAGUCAGGUGUAAAAGGCAGUAGCUUAACUACUGUAAGCAUUUGAAACUGCAUAUCUUGAGAAGAGGAGGGGUAAGUGGAAUUUUGAGUGUAGCGGUGAAAUGCGGAGAUAUGAAAAAGAAUACCGGUGGCGAAGGCGACUUACUGGGCUCAUACUGACGCUGAAGAACGAAAGCGUGGGUAGCAAACAGG
rnacentral:rRNA from 1 species